CAGGGCCUUCCUGUCCGGCUUCUGGGUGCGCCCACUGGUCACCCCUCGGGUCCCCUCCCUCCUGGGGAAGGGGCUUUCCCACGAGGCGGGAGGCGGGACAAAAGCCACCAGGAGCCGCCCUCUAUCCUGAGUGCCGCUGGAGACCUUCCGCUUGACUGGCCCUUUAAGUGACUCUCCGCCGCAUUCACUCCAAUAGGCGGGCAUCCACAGCCCGCCACCGCCAGCGCAGCCCAGAGACCAGCCGCGCAGCCGCGAGCCCUUUAAUAGACUCUCUGCCGUAUUCACCUCAAUAGGCGGGCACUACACGCCACCGCCUGGCCUCCGGCGGCCUUCGUGCUCCCUCCUUCCGCAAGAACAGCCCUUCCCCGCGUGGAGGCGGCUGAGGACCGGCUCAUGGCAGUCACGGAGCCAGCGAAGUAAGGGACAAAGGCGCUGCCUCUGCCUGCUGGCCUGCGGAGGACUGGGAGGCCUCACCCUCUCCUGGCUCAGAAUCGCGUCUGCUGGGGCCUGGCCCAUCCCGCAGGCCAUCCCUCCCUCUGCCCUCCCGGGGACUUGCCUGUCUCAGACGGCAGAGCUGGUCUCCACCUGGGAAGCAAACUCCCCUGGCCUUGGACAAGGAAAGUGACUGGUCACAAGGAGCAGCCUGGCCAGCAGCCUGUGGGAUGGGGUGUCCCCAGAUCCCUUCCUUGCGCUCUCAUUAAACCUUGUAAAAAUCUGUAUCAAGAGUUGUGGAGCCUCACCUUUCAGCCCUUCAGCCCUUCAGCCCAGCCCGGGUCAGAGGGCCCAGGCCAUUCAGGCCACUCUGUUUGCCAAAUAAAAUAUUAGGCAUUCCUCCCAGAUCAUGCUGGCUGCUGGCUAGAGAAGGACUGGAGGAGGCAAGAAUGGAGAGCCUGUUUUGGAUGGCUAGUGUGGUCCUCCAGGCAGGAGCGGGUGGCAGCUGGAGGAGAGCGGAGGCCGGGCCUGGAGAGAAGAGUGGAUGUGAGGUUCCGUAGCCAUGGGGCAGACCUGGCACUGAGAGCAAUAGUGUUCCUUGGUGACGGCUGGGAGUGGCAAAAGAACCUCCCAGGGCAGCAUUGUCCUUCUGCACCAACCAACGUCUGGCCCCAACACACGACAGUACCCACCCGGGCUCCCCUGCCACCCAGCGAGCAGCCAGGCAGUUCCACCUCCCUGAUCCGUGGAGCCCAUGGUGGGAACUGCACCUCAGGCUUCCUUCAUGUCAAAAUGACU
rnacentral:lncRNA from 1 species